AUCAGAAGGAAGAAACGAGCAAACAAAUCACAAUCAAAUGUGCAAAUAAAUCAAAGAAUAAUUUGACUUAAUAAAAGAAUACAUUUCAUUCACUACAUCAAUUGAUGAGUUUGAAACAGAUUUCAAAAACCUAUGCCACAAACAUUUGGGCAGCCAGAUGAAAAAUGGUGGAGAGCACCAAAAAAUUAACAAGAGCUUAAGAUGAAGAAUAUACAUUAGCAUUCAAUAUUUCUUAAAAACUUUCAAUCUUUCUUAGAA